rnacentral:rRNA from 1 species
AUACGUAGGGGGCGAGCGUUGUCCGGAAUUACUGGGCGUAAAGGGCGUGUAGGCGGGGAUGCAAGUUAUUGGUAAAAACCCGGGGCUCAACCUCGGGCUUGCCGAUAAAACUGUAUCUCUUGAGUGCAGGAGAGGGGAAUGGAAUUCCCGGAGUAGCGGUGAGAUGCGUAGAUACCGGGAGGAACACCAGUGGCGAAGGCGGUUCCCUGGCCUGUAACUGACGCUGAGGCGCGAAAGCUGGGGUAGCGAACGGGAUUAGAUACCCCGGUAGUCCCAGCCGUAAACGAUGGUCACUAGGUGUGGGGCGUGUUCAAGCUUUCCGUGCCGGAGCUAACGCAAUAAGUGACCCGCCUGGGGAGUACGGCCGCAAGGUUGAA